rnacentral:rRNA from 1 species
CAAUAGCGUAUAUUAAAGUUGUUGCAGUUAAAAAGCUCGUAGUUGGAUUUGUGGCGUACGGUGUGUUCCGGGCACUUGUUGUCUGAGUAACCUGCUGUUGCCAUCCUUGGGUGGAACCUGUGUGGCAUUAGGUUGUCGUGCAGGGGAUGCCCAUCAUUUACUGUGAAAAAAUUAGAGUGUCCAAAGCAGGCUUAUGCCGUUGAAUAUAUUAGCAUGGAAUAAUGAGAUAGGACUUUUUUGCUAUUUUGUUGGUUUGCGCAAAGAGGUAAUGAUUAAUAGGGACAGUUGGGGGUAUUCGUAUUCCAUUGUCAGAGGUGAAAUUCUUGGAUUUUUGGAAGACGAACUACUGCGAAAGCAUUUACCAAGGAUGUUUUCAUUAA